rnacentral:rRNA from 1 species
AGUGAACGCUGGCGGUAGGCCUAACACAUGCAAGUCGAACGGCAGCACAGUAAGAGCUUGCUCUUACGGGUGGCGAGUGGCGGACGGGUGAGGAAUACAUCGGAAUCUACUUUUUCGUGGGGGAUAACGUAGGGAGACUUACGCUAAUACCGCAUACGACCUACGGGUGAAAGUAGGGGAUCUUCGGACCUUGCGCGAUUGAAUGAGCCGAUGUCGGAUUAGCUAGUUGGCGGGGUAAAGGCCCACCAAGGCGACGAUCCGUAGCUGGUCUGAGAGGAUGAUCAGCCACACUGGAACUGAGACACGGUCCAGACUCCUACGGGAGGCAGCAGUGGGGAAUAUUGGACAAUGGGCGCAAGCCUGAUCCAGCCAUACCGCGUGGGUGAAGAAGGCCUUCGGGUUGUAAAGCCCUUUUGUUGGGAAAGAAAAGCAGCAGGUUAAUACCCCGCUGUUCUGACGGUACCCAAAGAAUAAGCACCGGCUAACUUCGUG